ACUGAAUGCACCAUCUAGUGCUCUUAUCUCACUAGCAUCUGAAUCUCAUUAGCAUCUCACUAAUAUCAUGGGAGGACAGAGAAGGAAAGAACAGUGUUGAAAUCUGAACUCCGCUACCAUGAUAAAAGCAGGGCUUUGGAACUGUGCUCCAGCUCCGCUCCAGCUCCAGGCAAAAACCUGCAGCUCCACUACUCCGGAGCUGCUCCAUGCUCCGGCUCCGCUCCAAAGCCAUGGAUAAAAGCUGGAAUUAUUACUCAUUGUACCUGCACGCUUUUUCUAGAUGAAAGAUGUAGCAGCCUGCCAUUUGUUAAGACUACUAAAGUACUGUCUGAGGUCAUGCAAGAUACACCUUGCAAAACAGUAAUAGCCUGCAAAUUAGGACACAGAUGACAACCAAUAAGCUCAUGAAAAUACUACUACUUUAACACAAUAGU